rnacentral:lncRNA from 1 species
GAACUUUCUCAAGGUUGUUUGGCUGCCUGUGUCUGCGUGGAGGCGUCUGCACGGCUCAGGCUGCCGCUCACCCAGCUCCUGCUUUGCCUCUGUGUAACCCUGACCAGUGGUACGGAACCAGAAAGCUCUGUUCCAGAACAAAUCUAGACCUGAACUUCUGAAAAGUUCAGCAGCAUGCUGGAUCUCAUCUUUUUGUCACUGCUUAUUCGUUAAUCCCAUCUCUCUUCUCCCAUACCUUCCCUUUGUUUUUCCCAUUCAAACUGUGUCCAUUGUAGGCAAUGAAAGUCUCCCAGGGAUGCUGGACCAUCUACCACACCUACCAGGACUGAUAAAUUGGACAAUAUAUAUUACUAUUUGCACUGCAUCGGUGCUUAUAAGGCCCAGCUGGGACCAGGCAUCUUUUAUGUGAGUUUGUACAGACGCGCAGCAGAAGCCAGCUCCAGCUGUGAAGCUCUGGCAGCCUGAAUGGGCAUGGCAAGGCGAGGCAGGGAAAGCUCAAAGUCACACAGCAGGUGAGUGUCUGGGACAGAUUCUGGGUGUCUUAGUUCCCAGUCCUGUGCCCCAUCCAUCCGAUCCAUCUCUUUCUCGAGAGGCCGUCAUGAUGGAUGCCUCAGACCAACACGCAAUAAAUAAACACCUCUAAUAAAGACCUCCACUGUUCCAUUAAAAACGAGAUCAGCCAAACAACGGUACAGUACUUCAUUCCCCCCCUGCCCGCUCCCUGGCACUUCCCAGUCUCCUAAUGAGGGAAAAGGAUCUUUAUCUAAGUCAGAGCUGCCCCAGUGUUAGGUGUAGGGAGCCACAGUGAAACCAGCUGCUGCUACCAUGCCGCCAGCCAAGACUCUCAUUUGUUUUGGCUAGCACUGAAGAAUCAGCUUAGGCAUCUUUGAGAACAAAAUGGUGCAUGGAACCAGUCCAAGCUGCAAAAGAUAAGAAGCAAUAAGAGUCGCAACAGAUUAUUUGUCUGGUAAAACAGAAGGAGAAUUCUAUCAGAAGAAAAAAAAAAAAAAAAAGAAAAAAGAAAGAAAAAAAAAAGGGAGGAUCCUGGUCCAGUGCUGCUAGCAUAAGUUCUGUUUGUGGUGUGCCAGAUGAUAGCCUCUCGGGCUGCACAACAGGUGCUAAGCUGCAGCUAUUUCUGGCGAGGAAGAAAUUGCUGCUGCCGAAAAGGAACGGCAGAGGAAAGCGAUUUCUUCACGACUGCUGUAAAGAGGAAGGUGCUGCAGCAACGAUCCCUGCCACCACAGCAAGGACCACAUGCCUGCCAGACACGGAACGCCUCCUGCCACGCACUGAGGUCCUGCAGCUCUUGAGAACACAGGGAAACGUCUGGGCUGACCUACGCCGAGGGCAAGAGGCAGCGGGACCAGAACAGCCAGACCUCAACCCCUUUGUACCUGCCUUGAUGUCUGUCAGGUGAAAACUGAGCACGUGGAUGCCUCAGAUCCACAGCCAGAGCUGGAAAGGUUUGCUCAGCACAGACAGCGCUCUUUCAGCCAUCCUUACGAGCAAGCUACAGCUUAUGGAUUCAGUGAUCAUUUCAAUUUUCUUUGAAAAAAAGUAUAUAUAUUAAAAAAAGAAAAAAAAAAAAAAGACAAAGACUGCUGGUUUCCUCUGACCCCGGCUUCCUGAAAAGAAACAAGAGGCGCCCUUUAGCUUCAGCCCCACCGCGGCUCUCUGUUCUCAUGGCGCAGCAACAUACCACACAUUUCAUAAUUAGGGCGCGAGUGAGAGAUAAGGCCGUG